rnacentral:rRNA from 1 species
AAGAACGCUGGCGGCGUGCCUAACACAUGCAAGUCGAGCGAGAAAGUCCCUUCGGGGGCGAGUAAAGCGGCGCACGGGUGAGUAACGCGUGGGUAACCUGCCCUUGAGUGGGGGAUAACCAGCCGAAAGGCUGACUAAUCCCGCAUACGACCGGCAGACACAAGUCUGUCGGGGAAAGAUGGCCUCUGCUUGCAAGCUAUCGCUCUUGGAUGGGCCCGCGUUGGAUUAGCUAGUUGGUGGGGUAACGGCCUACCAAGGCUGCGAUCCAUAGCUGGUUUGAGAGGACGACCAGCCACACUGGAACUGAGACACGGUCCAGACUCCUACGGGAGGCAGCAGUGAGGAAUAUUGCGCAAUGGGGGAAACCCUGACGCAGCGACGCCGUGUGAGCGAUGAAGGCCUUCGGGUCGUAAAGCUCUGUCAGAGGGAAAGAAAGGGUCGGCGGAAUAAUACCCGCCGACAUUGACGGUACCCUCGGAGGAAGCACCGGCUAACUCCGUG